UACGUAGGUGACCAGCGUUGUCCGGAUUUACUGGGCGUAAAGAGCGCGCAGGCGGUCGUUCAAGUCGAGUGUGAAAGCCCCCGGCUCAACUGGGGAGGGUCACUCGAUACUGAUCGACUGGAAGGCAGGAGAGGGAAGCGGAAUUCCCGGUGUAGUGGUGAAAUGCGUAGAUAUCGGGAGGAACACCAGUGGCGAAGGCGGCUUCCUGGCCUGUUCUUGACGCUGAGGCGCGAAAGCUAGGGGAGCGAACGGG
rnacentral:rRNA from 1 species